ACAAGACGGCCACCCCUGCACAUGCUCAGUGCGCCUCCUGUAACGCCCCUGUGGGUUGGUUUUAAGGUGCAGCAGGAGGAGGACGAGAGGAAACCUACAAGCAGAUUGUUUUAGAUAAAAACCUCCAGAACAACAGGUCUGGAUCUGAUGGAGACACAGCGACAGGUUUCUGACAACAGCUCAAACUUAAAGUGAAGCUCGGUUUAACUGAGAGAGAAAAUGUAACACACUAAAUAUAUGAUAUUAAAUAAUAUCUGCUCUCACUCAGACAGCAGGAAGUAAAUAAUCAUUCAACUGGAACUGUAGAGAAUAAAGUUUAAUGUUAGAACUGUUAGAACACUGACUGAUGAUUAGUAAUGAGCUAUAUGGACGAUAUCUCAGCAGCUGAUUGGGACACUGUUGGAGGUUUGGGGAGAUGAGUCAUUGGCAGAGGAUGCAGCUGUGCAGCCAAUCAGCUGCUGUAAUAAUAUUAUAAUGAUAAUAAUGAUAAUAAUGGUAACUGUCAGUGUGUAGCUGCUGGGGACUCGAACUGUUCCAUCAUUAAACUCUGGGUUCACAGUACAGUCACAAUCUGUCUCAUACAGUUUAAGAUCUUUGAGUUGAAGAAUUAUUGAGUAACUUGGCGGCAUGAAGCUAACUGCUAACAUUGUCCAACCUUAUGUUGUAGUUUGUGAAUCUUCCCAAACUCUGCUAUAUAUAUAUUUAUAUUUAUAUAUUUAUAUAUAUUGUGACACUGUGGUUGGCUGUCGGUCUUCAACUGACAUUAUUUACCUUUUAUUUAUUUAUAAAUCUGCUUAACACGCGAAGGACAAUGUUUAUUUUAUUUAUUCUAUUUAGACACAAAACAUGUAAAUUCAACAAUAAAAUCUUUAAAGAUUAAAAGAUGAGUAAACAAACACUGAAUUAUAAUUAAAGUUGUAUUAAUACAAAUAAGAUUAAGCUAAUAUAGCUAAAUGCUAACAUUAAAAGUUCAUCAGAUUGAUAAAGUUGGUUUUGAUGAUGCUAACCGCUAACUGCUAACAAUAACUAGUUUAAAGAAUGACACUAAUAUAGCUCGCGGCUAACGGCAGCUAAUGUUGAUGUAGUUGGUUAAUAAAUUGAUUAAGCUAAUAGCUGUAAACAGCUAGCUAAUAAUUACAGUGCAGUAGAUGGUGUAAAGUGCUAACCGCUAGCUCUACAUGUUAGCUGACACUGCUAAUUGCUAAUGACAAGAAAAUACUCAACGCUAAUAUUAGCUUAGAGGCUAGGCUAACAUAGCUAGCUGCAAGCCUGAGCUAACAUUGAUAGAGUCAGAAGCUAAUGUAGCUCAGUGCUAAUGACUCAAUAAUAUUUAAUAUUAUAAUCGGUUUGAAUAUUGAUCGCUAACAGUAAUUGUUAUGGUUGCUCACUGCUAACACUAGCUAACAUUAUGAACCUCACUAGUUAUUGUUGUUGGGUUAGCGAUUAUAGCUAGCUGUAAUGUAACUCCAUGCUAACGUGACUUUUAACGUAAUGACGCCAGUAGGUUUGGAGGUUAAGCUAACACAGCUAGCUAUAAAGUUAAACAUUAGCUUUUUUAUGUUGAGUUGAAGCUAAUGUAGCUCAGUGCUAAUGUUAGCUAACAUGUCGCUGUUGUCAGUUGAAUCUUUAGUUUUUAGUCUCCGUCAGAUCCAAACGUCAGAAUUUACACUUUCAUAUUUAAAUUAGUCUUUUUCAUCUUUAUUGUGUUCGACGGACGUUAGCAGACGUUAGCGACGGACGUUAGCAGACGUUAGCAGACGUUAGCAACGGACGUUAGCAGACGUUAGCAACGGACGUUAGCAGACGUUAGCAACGGACGUUAGCAACGGACGUUAGCAGACGUUAGCAACGGACGUUAGCAACGGACGUUAGCGACAGACGUUAGCGACAGACGUCACGAGAUGAAGACAAACGUCGGCCAAACCCUGAACUCUGUCUGAGGAUCAUUGUCUUCAGUUCCUCAGCUGACAGACGGACGUCGCUGUUUCUGUUCUUUGUACACAAGAUUGUUUUUAUCUGCACCUUCAUAUUAUUCUCUUAUUACAGUCUGAGCUCUGAUCACCUCCUGAUUGAUCCAAUCUGAGGGCUGAUUACGAAAUUAAUUACUACAGAAGAAAAAAACACAACUGCACAAAAUCAGUUUUACUUUGUAAUAAAUCAGAACAUCGACAGUUUCUUGUUCCCUACGCUGUAACGCCACCGCUCUUUAGUUCCCUACACUGUAACACAGACACACUCUAGUUCCCUACGCUGUUACGCCAGCAGUCUGUAGUUCCCUACGCUGUAACGCCACAGCUCUCUAGUUCCCUACACUGUAACACAGACACACUCUAGUUCCCUACUCUGUAACGCCACCGCUCUUUAGUUCCCUACGCUGUAACACAGACACUCUCUAGUUCCCUACGCUGUAACGGCAGCAGUCUGUAGUUCCCUACACUGUAACACAGACACUCUCUAGUUCCCUACGCUGUAACGGCAGCAGUCUGUAGUUCCCUACACUGUAACACAGACACACUCUAGUUCCCUACUCUGUAACGCCACCGCUCUUUAGUUCCCUACGCUGUAACACAGACACACUCUAGUUCCCUACACUGUAACGCCACCGCUCUUUAGUUCCCUACGCUGUAACACAGACACUCUCUAGUUCCCUACGCUGUAACGGCAGCAGUCUGUAGUUCCCUACGCUGUAACACAGACACUCUCUAGUUCCCUACGCUGUAACGGCAGCAGUCUGUAGUUCCCUACGCUGUAACACAGACACUCUCUAGUUCCCUACGCUGUAACGCCAGCAGCCUGUAGUUCCCUACGCGGUGCAGCCUGAAGGUCCUGAGGUAAUUGGAAGAUCAGGUGGUGACUGUAGCUCCGACUGUCUCUCUCCUCGUGUUUCUGUUGCAUUCUGGGACAUUUUUAUGGUGACAGGGUGAACUGAUCUGACACUAAAACACUGAGUGUGUCCUGCAGUCACACUGUCAGUUUUUAUCUUUAGUAAAUGUAUGUGUACAAAUAUAUUCUGUAAAUAUAUACAUAUAUACAUAAAUAUAUAUGAGGGGCUGGGGCGUGUGUUGCCAUG